rnacentral:rRNA from 1 species
UACGAAGGGGGCUAGCGUUGCUCGGAAUUACUGGGCGUAAAGCGCACGUAGGCGGCUCUUUAAGUCGGAGGUGAAAUCCUGGAGCUCAACUCCAGAACUGCCUUCGAUACUGAAGAGCUCGAGUCCGGGAGAGGUGAGUGGAACUGCGAGUGUAGAGGUGAAAUUCGUAGAUAUUCGCAAGAACACCAGUGGCAAAGGCGGCUCACUGGCCCGGUACUGACGCUGAGGUGCGAAAGCGUGGGGAGCAAACAGG